rnacentral:rRNA from 1 species
AUUGAACGCUGGCGGCAGGCCUAACACAUGCAAGUCGAGCGCGCGGCGGACGGGUGUGUAAUGUCUGGGAAACUGCCUGCUGGAGGGGGAUAACUACUGGAAACGGUAGCUAAUACCGCAUACCAUCAGAUGUGCCCAGAUGGGAUUAGCUCGUAGGUGGGGUAACGGCUCACCUAGGCGACGAUCCCUAGCGGUGCUGAGAGGAUGACAAGCCACACUGGAACUGAGACACGGUCCAGACUCCUACGGGAGGCAGCAGUGGGGAAUAUUGCACAAUGGGCGCAAGCCGGAUGCAGCCAUGCCGCGUGUGUGAAGAAGGCCUUCGGGUUGUAAAGCACUUUCAGCGGGGAGGCGUUACCCGCAGAAGAAGCACCGGCUAACUCCGUGCCAGCAGCCGCGGUAAUAC